GCUGCCAAGCUGCUGGGCUCGGCCCAUGUCGCUGCUGGUCCGGCUGGACAGGGACUGCUGGAGCCCUCGUCCAUCUUCUGUUCGCCUAUCUAAAAAAAAAAAGCUUCUGUUCGCCGACCAUGGUGGUGGCAGGGACUCCGCCGCUGUCCCCGCUACGUCGUUCUACAUCGCCGUUGUCUGUGUUGCGGGCCGCGCCUCCACACGUCGCGCGACCUCCGCCCCCGCCGCUCGCCGCGCAUCACCACCUCCACGGCUCCACCGCUCCAUGGCCAGCACUAAUAUUGUGUUUUUCGUUCGCUGAUUCUGGAGGUCAGCCGAUCGACAAGAAUAUUUUCAGGAUCAACUGUCAUCAUACACUUAUCCUCUUCUGAUAGCCUCAUGGAGGAGAUCCCUUCCUGCAAUUUGACCUGUGUGUGAAUAUCACAUAUGAAUUAUAUACCGUGACAUUCUUUGUUGUAUCUCCUGCUAUCACAAGCACUCUUUCUUGAAACUGUAAUUUGUAUACAGAAUUUAUCUUGGCAGUUGGCACCCUUCUGAUUCACCGACGAUUCCAGCCACAAUUUAGCUUUUUUCAUUUUCGAUGCACUCAAGUUUACUAUUGCUUACUGUCAUGUGAACAAAUUUUUUUCCGACACCAAUAGAUCUGUGUAUCAUUAUAAAAUUCUUGAGGGUAUUUGAAAAAAAGGCUAUAUAUGGUCAUAUACAGUUACGUCCAUUUAAAAGAGAAGCAAUGGACGAGAUAAUGUGUACUUAGGUCAACAAAAUUUACAGAACUCAAACAACUUGCAACCUAAAUGUGCUGUUGUGAUUUUUCAUUUUUCAAUAUCGAUGGUCAAACAACAUGUACUUUUUUUGGGUUUAAAUUACUGUUAUAUAUGUGUAUUGAAACAUUUGACAACUUUCAAUGUUUUUCCAAUUUAACUUUAAAGAGACUCCAGAGGAUGACCAAUUGAACGAAGAAUCUGAAGUACGCGGACUUUUUGAGCCAAUAGAGUCACAUGCUGAAUUGGAAGGUGUAUACUCUGUAUUCAUGGUACGGAUUAUCUGUUGAAAUCAUGCACGGUUGUUCCAAUAAUUAUUUCUCUCAUAGAAUGCUUGGACACCACACAAGGAGGACAAACCGAGCAAGAUGACAAGGAAUGUAGGAUAUUUAGUGGACAAGCCAGAUGAUCUUUCAGUCAAAAACUAGUCAGAUGAUCAGUUUCAACUAUAUAACAUGACCAAUCAUGUUUCUCCAAGGACUGAUAAUCAUGAUCCUUAUGACAACAUCUACAGAAGACUACCACCCAGGCAUCAUGUUCUAUACCAGCAAAGAAUGAUCAUUGUGGAGCAAUGACGUACCGUUCUUUGAUUUGUCAUGUAGUGAUGUAGAUAAUGUGUUUGAUAAGAACCCCAGCAGGCUGCAAGUGAGAUGAAUCAAGGAAGUUGGUACAAAAGAUGCGGCCUUCAGCGCUCUGUGACUUUUAUGCCAGGAGAGGGAGAGCGAGGUUAGAGCUGGGUGGAGCAGUGAAUCCACCUGCGGCGAGAUGAUGGUGCUCAUGGUCAUGGUGGCAAGUGCUGAAAGAAGAAGCUUAAAGUCAGCAUAUCACCGUAUCUAUCCAUCCUUCAGUUCUAGGUGAAGCUGAGCAUUUGUCGAUUGCAUAUUUCUUGGUGGUUAGCUAACCUAUUUGCCGUGGCAAGAAGAUGGUGCUCAUGGUGUAGGUGGUGGCGAGGAGCAUGAUUGAUGACGAAGGGGUUGCAGCAAAGGCAAGAGGCAAGCUUUCUAUACGAUGAUCUACUGCUGCAAGUGAAGAAUUGUUAUGUACUCCCUCCAUCACAUAUUAAGUGACUUUUUAUUACAUGUAUUUAGACGCUUUUUAAACAUAAAUACAUCCAUAUUUGGACAAAUUUGAAUCACUUAAUAUGGGACGGUGUCAUGUGGGGGCGUACCUGCGUAUGGCUCGCCCUGCUGUAGGUCCUCAACCCUAGUUUGUGUUUAGUUCAAUUGCUUGCUAGUUAAGUUAAGAAAUAGGAUCUAAGUCGGACAGCUUUUGUCCUGUAGAAGAUUACCCUGUCGACCUGAUCUAAUUAGAGUUCUUUUCUUCUUUCCCAAGUUGUAAUUGGCUACUUAUAGCCCACCCUAGUCAAUCAAUAAAGCAAGCAGAAUAAUUAGUCUAA